UAACAAGCCGAGAGGUUGGUGUGAGGUUACAGCACAAGCGGUGACAGAGCAGCAAGAUGACGAGACCGCAGAUGGCGUAUUUCUGCAGGUUUGUACAGAAUGCAAGAAAGUUACACCAAAACUGACUUAAUGAAAUGAGUCAGUUUUCAUACUGGGAGGAUGCAGUGCUACAAAGUAAACCGAGACCAAGCACCGGAAAAGGGGCACCCCUGACCCACUUACGUUGGGAGCAAAAAAGCAAAUCGUCCAAUCAAGGGAUAAUCUAUGGUUGGUUGCACUGAAGAGGAAGUCCAUGUGGUUGGUCGAAUCAUCGAAGUGUCAGACAUGCAUGCCUCACAUGUGAUGUACUUUCCUAUAGAAGUAAUAUCAACAAAGAGUUUGUCUGAGCAUAAUAUGCUGAAAGCGACGUACCUGUGACAGUAACAUGUAAGCCAGGUACAGAUUGAGUCAGAUCCACAUCAGGCGGCAUUAAAAACAAUAUCUGAGUGCUUACGCAACCGAUAAACACACUGGUGAUGGUGUGCCUUUAAAACCAGUGGGUUGUCAGGUGAUCAAGGCGGCUCAGACACAGGAGCCUGAGUGCGUCUGUAGCCGGGAGCAGAGCGCCAGAGAGGAGAGCAGCCGAGAGGGAGAGACCUGUUUAGAAAGGAACAUGGGGGGGAGAUGAGGACUCAGCUACAUCAGAGUGGGGGGCCAGAGGCUCGUGGUGGUAGGGUCCCUUUAACUGCAGUCUGCUUGUGCUCACUUGCCUUGUGUGACAGCUAGCAAGUGUGUUUCUGGCUCAGCUUGAUCAAGAAGCUGCGUUUGUGUAAGCCACAACAGUGGCAUAAAAAAAAGCACAGAGAAUUAAGUGCUGCGUCACACUCAGGAAGAGAAAUAGUGUGAUCAUGCGCGCGUGUGCACAGCUGCGUGUGUGUUGGUGUGUACAUACGCAUUUGAGUAGACUCUGUUGUGUUUGUCUGGCAGUGGGUAGGGUGUGUGUGUGUGUGUGUGUGAGUUGGACGUAGCAAUCUAAUAGCAGUUCUGCUGUUGCAACAAGAUGGAAAUAAAAGGAGUGUGUGUGCUUUUCAGUGGUGAGCAGAAAGGAAGCGAAGGGGAGAUACAGAGAGCGAGGGAGAGCAACUCCGAGUCAGUGCAAGAGAGUGAUUUCGGAUUAGUUGCUACGUCACUUUUUCAUGUCGAGAGAAACAGAAGCUGAGAUAACAGAAGCCCAGAGUCAUCACCCGGAGGAGGCACGUUGCUUUUCGGACACCUUCAGCUUCUGCCCUCUUCUUCUUCUUCCUUGGUAGUUUUGAUGUGCUCUACGUUUAGAGUGUGUGCACGUGCGUGUGUGUGUGUUGCGUAGUUUUUGUGAGCUGGUGCCUGAGUUUCAACAUGGAUGCUCAGGAUUUGACACAGUUAGUUACUAGAGCUUGUUUUGAUUGGUUGGUUAGGUGGCGCUGGUUGCGACAAACAGGUUAACAGCACGAAUAUUCAGUCUGGGAUGUUUUUCAAAGAAUUCAUCGAGGUACAGCGCUGUUUUUCCCCACUCUCUCCUCUAGUAAUAUGGGUGAUUUUUUUUUUUUGCGAAUAGGUUAAAAUAAUCAAUGACGGUGCGGUCUGACCCUCCUACUAUGCAGUCAGGUGACACAUACAGCAAUUCAAGUGAAGUUACAUAAUAAACGUAUCUGUUAAUGUCGCAUCAUGUGCGUCUGUAUUAAAAUAGAACCAGCUCUGGACUCUUCUGGUUAACUCUGCUGAAGUUGAUGGAAAGAAUCAGCAUCCAGACUUGGAGGCAGAGGCUGCUGUAUGUUGCUGUCACAUACCACUCCGUAUCUGGUGAUACUUUCAUCAUGUGAGUUGUUUUCACCCGCCAGAGCCAUUGGGAUCUGGCAAAACCCUUCCCGAGACACAUUUGUUUCUGCGUAGUUAGGAGAGACAGAGAUGGUGACGCAGUCGCUUUUGGGCUGGACUUUGCUGCAACCGGCUAGUACCUCUCCUUUUUCCUCUCAGUCUGUUUAUCUGUGUGCCUAUCUAUCGGUCUAUCCGUCUCCUGGAGAAAGGAGGGGGUAAGUAGGUUUAAAUGUCAUGGCUCUGGAUCAGAAACAGAUAGAGAAGAAGAAGAGAGAGGGAGGGAGAGAAGGAAAGAGAAAAACAUAAGGUGGAGAGGAAGCACAGAGGGGUGCUGAGAUGAACCAAAACAGAGAAAAGUUGUAAACCUUGUUCUUUUUUGUGACUUAGCUUUGGCUUCUCUCCAAUGUACAUGCACUGGACUGGACUUCCUAAAGCUGCUGCAUCACAAGCCUUCAUGCCAAGGCUGCAUUCUCAUUGGAUGGGAGGAGCUUCCCAGGCUUCACAGCAUUUCAUUGGCUUAAAAGAACAGGCAGCUGACAUUCAACCUCUGAUUGGCUGGGAUGCAUUGUUUUCUCACACGGCUGGAGACGAACAAACUAUCCUCUAUUCUUCCAAGCGACAGAGAGAACGGGAUUAAUCUCGUUUGUCUGCAGAUUCCACUGAAUAUUCCACUCUGAUGAUGGAUUUUACCAGAGGUGCCCCCUUUGGAAGCUGGUUUCAGAUGGUGGCUUAGAGUGUUGUCAUCUGUCUAGCACCAUUUGAAAUCAGUGUUCUUUGGGUGGGAAGUGUUUCUUUGCACUGGCAGAAGGCAGAAGCAACAAUGAGCCCAUCACCAUAGAUAUGACGCUGUAAAGAAACACACACAACUCUCUGAGGCUCCCUCCUUAAAGAACAUCAAGUCUCUGAGCUACAAAUCAUGUCUACCAAGAUGUUUUUCACUUUUCAAGUCCCUUUGUCCUCUCUCCAAGGUUGACUGAUUUCUUUUGGUGUUCAGAGUCUGUUUCUCUUUCUAGCACCAUUUGAAAUCGGUUACAAUGAAGGACAGAUCUCAUCAUACCUUGAGGAGGAAACUCUGCUGCAUUGUGGCCUUUCUUGGAUUGGGUGGAGUGAAACUUGACAUUAAGGCUAUAAACUAAGAAAAGCUACAUGGAUGUGCAUGUGCAUGUAGAGGGGUUAUGUUAGAUUAAUUUUAAUAAGUAUGAAAUAAAGUGUCAUGUUACUUAAAUUCA